CCGUAGGGUGCGAGCGUUAAUCGUCCUUCCUCGCCUUCCCUCUUUCUCCUUCUUUUCUCUCCUCCCUUUUUUCCCUCCCCGGGCUUCACCUGGGAAUGGCGCUUGUGACUGGCGGGCUGGAGUACGGCAGAGGGGGGUGGAAUUCCACGUGUAGCAGUGAAAUGCGUAGAGAUGUGGAGGAACACCGAUGGCGAAGGCAGCCCCCUGGGCCGAUACUGACGCUCAUGCACGAAAGCGUGGGGAGCAAACAG
rnacentral:rRNA from 1 species